ACACACAUAAAAACAACAACAAAACAAGAACAACAACAACAAACAACUUUAGUUAACCGAAUGCCUUUUGCACAUUUAUGUAAUACACACUCUCGGUGUUCCGUGUGCAUAUUCCGUGUCCAUUACCCACCACCACCACCACUACAACCACAACCACAACCAUUUAUCCACACUGUGUGUACUAAUAAUAUUGUGUAGCACCCCAAAAAAAUCAAAAAAAAAAAACAAACAAUUUUAAACCACCAACCACCGCAAUAAACAGAAGAUUAAGAGCAAGCACAAGCAACUAACCAACUAAUCGAGCACCACCGCAAAAAGAACAAAAACAAAAGACAAGAGAGAUCACUGAGAGGGGGGCCAGGAGAGAGAACCGAACCACCGAUUAAGUAUCGAAAGUAAAUCGUCUCCCCGCCCCAAAACCAACCCACAAUACAGAACAAACCGAAACCAAAAAACAAAAACAAUUUCCCAGCCCAGCCCGAGCCCGAGCGAGAGAAAGAGAGACCAGGUCAGUUGUGUGUAUCUGUGUGCAUCUGUCUAAGCAUCUCAGUGUGCAUCCUCUCAGUGUGCCUGUGCGUGUGUGUGUGUGUGUGUAGUAGUAGUAGUUACCCAAUAAAAGUCCUGCUCCUGCUCGCCACACCGCCCUACCAAAUACCAGCACCACAAUUGCACAUUACUACCAUAGAUACCCACGGCAGUACUACUACCGCAUGGAGCGCGGCACCAGCGGUGGUCAGCACCAGUCGCACCACCAUCACCAUUCACCACAACCACCACCUACAUCACAACAACAACAACAACAACAACAACAACACCACCAACAGCACCACCAACAUUCGCGCCAUCAGCAUGUUGUGGCCGUACAUAGCUAUGAUCCGUAUCUGACGGCCGGAGCGGCGGACGAGGAGCAUACCUCGGGCACAUCAUCCUUCGAUAAUCCCGCCACAAAAAAGAAACCACCCAAGCUGAAGCCCAUUCAUCGUUCGCUAUCGAUGGCCAUUGAUAAUUAUGCACCAACGGCUGUAAUGUCAUCAUCUUUCGAUGAUCUACAAAUGGAUCAAAUGAUGGGUGGUGGUCAUGGUCAUAAUGAUGAUGAUGAUGAUGAUGAUGAUGAUGAUGGCAUUAUGAUAAGUGAGCAGCCACUAAUUCAUCGCUCGGCCUCGCCGCUGCCCGUGCCUAGAUCGGUGGCUCCACCGCAGACCCUAGCAAUCCCAGCACAACAUCUCCCCCAUUCCCAGCGUGGAGGCAUCGGCAGUAGUGGUGCCUUAUCUCCAGCCCUAUCAGCCCGCCAACAACAACAACAACAACAACACCAUCAUCUACAACAACAACAACAACAACAACACCAGCUGCAUCUACACACAUUUCAGCAUUUGGCCGCACAAGCCCGCCAACAGCAACAACAUCAACAACAACAACAACAACAUCCACAGCAUCUUCAACACCGCCAGCACUCGCACUCGAGCUCGCCCACAUCGCAUGCGGUUAGCCCGGUGCUCGAUCGUCAGCAUCGUCAGCCCGACAUUUAUUUGGUCAGCAGCAGCAGCCUGGGCGAUGGCUUGAGUGUGGGAGUGGGUUUGGGCAUGGGCAUGGGGGGCAUAGGAAUGGGCCGAUCACCCUUGGGCGGCAGCACAUCACCGAUACAAUUCAUCGAUGUCGAUGAUAUGCAACCGAUACCCAAAGUCCAAUCGGCCCAAUCCCGUUCAGCAGCGGCAGCCGCCGCCCAAGUACUCAAGAAGAAUAUGUUUCGACGCUCAGACACUAUUGAUGUGCAUCCGUCUACCAAUUUUCAGAUGAAGAAAACGCAUUCCUUCCACGCACAACAGGAUCCCGCCGCAAUGGAACAAAUCCAGCUAGCUGUCGCCGCCGGCUCAGCUGCCUCCAGUCGUCGCACUAGUUCGGUGCGUGCCAAUUUCCUAAUGCCCGGCCCCCCAGGCGGUGGCAAGGAGCAUUCCCGUUCCCCGUCACCCAGUCGACGAGGCUGUCGUUCGCAUCGCUCGUUCAACGAUCCCGGCCGCAGGCCAAGCACUAAACCCGAAUCGGUUGUCGAAUCCCAAAUCCGUCAUCCCUCGCUCAACGAUGAUCUAAUGGAUCCUACAUUGGCGGCCAGCCAAUCAAUGUUCCCCCAAUCGAAUCUAUCGCUGGAAAAUGAACUGUUCGUCGAAUCACGUUCACGUAGCAAUAGUCACACGAAAAUGGAAGAACUUGGCCUCGCCGAGUUAACCGCCGCCGCUGUGGCCGUGCAACGUAUGCGCAAAAGUUCGGGUUCAUUUGAAGAUGCAGCCGGUUCCAGUGCCACCCAUCCGCCAUCCGCCUCGAAUAGUGUCAAACAGAAACGUGAAACACAUCCGCACUCCAGACAGCAGAGUACGCACAGUUUGGAACUUGACGGCAGACCAUCGACCUCGGCGCAUACCCUGCAAUUGCAUAGUGCUGCGGCAGCAGCCAAUGCUGCCUAUCACUUUAAGCGCGGCGCUCAACACGGACGCUCCCUGUACCUGUCGCCCAGUAAUCUGGAAGAAUUGACUGUCCAUCGACCGGGAGUUUUGGCCGCUGCAGCUGCCUUUCAGGGCACCAAUGCCAGUGCCAGUGUUAAGCAGGCCAAGGCCUUGCAUAGUGCCAGUGUCCGUUUGCGCAAUUAUCGUGAGACUUUGAGUGCUUCCAAGAAAUCGAAAAGUUUCAUCGGCGAUGUGGGACCUAUUAGUAGUAGUAGCGGCGGCGGCAACGUCGGCCUCGAUAUGGGCGAUGAAUUCGAGCUCAGUUCACCCCACCGACGCAAUAGUCGUCCCCUGUCGACGGCUGUGCCCAGCUCUAGUGUGAAUAUCGAUGAAAUCAAACGAAGUCCACGUCCCAUAACAUCGGCCGCAGCGGCAGCUUUCAUUGAGGAGAAGCGUCCCAGUUUCGAGAGGAAAUCAUCGCUGACGUACGAGCAUGAGCUAAGUGAUGCGGCAUUUGCCGCCCAAGUACUGAGGCCUUUUCAUCAUAAAUUGGCAGCCGGACGCAAGGCAUCGGUUAGCGGAGGCUCGCAUAAACUGAAGAAGAAGUCCCUUAGCGAUGAAACCGACGAGGAUGAGGAGGCCGAUCGCAAACGCAAGCGUAUCGUUUGCAUUGUCCUGGCCACUGUACUAUUGUGCCUUGUCUGCGCCAGUGUGUUCGUUGUCAUUGUCACUCUCACCUCCGGCCAGAGUCAGUCGGGCAAGAAGGCGCAUUCGUUUAGUAGAGAUACACCAGUGCACUAUACGGGCAUGCGACCGUCAUGAACUGCCCUAAGAAUACUAUCACUAUCACUACUCUUCACUUGUCAUCGAUUUCUUGUGUUGGAUAACCUCCUUCUACUUCUACUUCUUCUCCUCCUCCUCCUCCUUCUCCAACAAAUAGCUUUAAAGAAGAAGCCAAUGGAAACACCACUGCAUUAACAUUGAAAAGCCAUUCGCCAAGAGAACGAGCGCAACAUUAAGGAAAAUUUGGAGCGCACGCUGAUGAUGAAGAAUC